rnacentral:rRNA from 1 species
UACGGAGGGUGCAAGCGUUAAUCGGAAUUACUGGGCGUAAAGGGUGCGUAGGCGGUUCGUUAAGUCUGUCGUGAAAUCCCCGGGCUCAACCUGGGAAUGGCGAUGGAUACUGGCGAGCUAGAGUGUGUCAGAGGAUGGUGGAAUUCCCGGUGUAGCGGUGAAAUGCGUAGAGAUCGGGAGGAACAUCAGUGGCGAAGGCGGCCAUCUGGGCUGUUGCUGACGCUGAGGCGCGACAGCGUGGGGAGCAAACAGG